AUUAUUAAUUCUUCCUUCUCUUUGUGUAUUUUUAUUACGAGUGUUUAAUAUGCUUUUUUUAAUGUUGGGUUUCACUUUACUCGCGUGAAGUGGCAUUGAACAUUGUGGUAUGAAAGGCGCUCUAUAAAGAAAGGUUAUUAUUGGGUGCAAUAGUGCAUCAUACAGGGGAUUGUGAGACCGUAACGCAGGAAGCGUUAAUUUCUUAGCGCGCCACGUGGGACGUGUUUAACGAUCAGCGGGCGCGUGCAGCGUUGAACGAGUUAAUUUGUAUUUCAAUGGGGAGGAGUUAAUUGGUAAACGCGGAUUCACGUCGUUGCGUGGUGGUGGUGGUGAUGGGGGUGUGGGGCACGCGAAGACUGGAAUUUCGGAAACCCUGGAAUAGCCAAAUUGGAAAGUUGCAAUAGACAAUGCUACGAGAGAAUUGCAGAUAUAAUUAGUAAGAUAAGGUGGCGGAAACAUUGAGUGAGGCACGUGCAGGAUGGAGGGGGAGGGCGUGCUACCAAAGCGGGCAUUCGAGUGACACCCAGAGGUUGGUGACCAAGGAGAAGAACCGAAUAAAGCCAGAUGGUGGGACGACAUCAGAGCAGGCCUUGUGGAAGGACGAGUGUCAAUUAUGCAGCAGCUGCAAGGCAGGCAGGGCACACGCGCUUGGUGACUGCUCCCCACGCUGGCGUCAGUCCAUGCAGAGCGACAAACUGCAAAGUCACAUUCAGGUGGUCAAGCCAGACAACCGCAUCAGGAGCAAGCGGAGAAGUAUCGUCAUCAUGGUCAUCAUCGUCGUCAUCGUCACCAUUGUUAUCAUCGUCGUCAUCGUCGUCGUCAUCAUCAUCGUCGCUGUGAUGUAUCCUUCGUUGUUUUGUGGAUCGGGGCACAUUACACGUUGAGCGGUCUCUGUUCUGGAUGACCGCAGUCGCACACCGCUGGAGAGUUUCUAAUUUUAACAUUUGUGCAUCAUCCACUAUCUGCUAUUGCUGCUGCCGCCAUUGGUUGUGCAGUGGAUGCGGUUUGGGGUGGACCGUGAGCUUCGUGAAAGUUCCAACCCCAGGAAUAUUUUACGUUGGGUCUUUAACAUGGUGUGUCUUUGUGAGUUCUUUCGAACUCCAUUCAGCUCUCCAAGCUUUAAGGCGACGAUGCGCUGACGAGCAGUUAGUGGCUAUAUAUAUACUGCACUGUACGUUGCCCAAGGGCUUAAUAAAAAAAAUCGUCAAACAAGGCCUUUUGUAAUUUCUCCUCACAUUAGUAAAAUUGCAAAAACGCUAUUUUGUGUAAAAAGAUAGACCCCACCAGUAUGGCUGUUAAUAUUCUUAACUUUCAUACAAUUGGUUAUCCGUACAGCUCGGAAAAUAAGACGUAUGUUAGUUCGCAGUCAAUUCCCAUGUAUAUGCGUACACUACGUAAAUAACGAAUAGAUACACAUAUUCACCAACAAUCAUUACGUUCCUGGUCUUUUUGCAUCUUGUUAGCAUUUUUAGUAAAUUCUCAGAAUUUAUGAGAAAUACUUUGGGUAAAAAAUCAUAACCUGAUGCCACUCGCUAAACAGAUUUCAGACUUUAGUGUCUUCCCCAGUUUGAUGCUGCUGAAUAGGCUGGUGAUGGGAAGGUGGAGUGGUAGUGUAGUGGUUAGCGUUCUCUGCUAGCGACG